rnacentral:rRNA from 2 species
GCAUAUCAAUAAGCGGAGGAAAAGAAACCAACAGGGAUUGCCUCAGUAACGGCGAGUGAAGCGGCAACAGCUCAAAUUUGAAAUCUGGCCUCCUUGCGGGGUCCGAGUUGUAAUUUGCAGAGGAUGCUUCGGGUGCGGCCGCGGCGUAAGUCCCCUGGAACGGGGCGUCGCAGAGGGUGAGAAUCCCGUCUUGAGUCGCUGGACCCGCGCCCGUGUGAAGCUCCUUCGACGAGUCGAGUUGUUUGGGAAUGCAGCUCUAAAUGGGUGGUAAAUUUCAUCUAAAGCUAAAUACUGGCUGGAGACCGAUAGCGCACAAGUAGAGUGAUCGAAAGGUUAAAAGCACCUUGAAAAGGGAGUUAAAUAGCACGUGAAAUUGUUGAAAGGGAAGCGCUUGCGACCAGACUCGGCCGCGGAGGCUCAGCGGGCAUUCGUGCCCGUGCACUCCUCCGCGGCCGGCCAGCAUCAGCUCUGGCAGCCGGUCAAAGGCCCCUGGAAUGUGUCGCCCUCCGGGGCGUCUUAUAGCCAGGGGUGCAAUGCGGCUCGCCGGGGCUGAGGAACGCGCUUCGGCUCGGAUGCUGGCGUAAUGGUCGUAAGCGACCCGUCUUGAAACACGGACC